UUGUCCUACGGGGCGCAGCAGUGAGGAAUAUUGGUCAAUGGCCGGAAGGCUGAACCAGCCAAGCCGCGUGAGGGAGGAAGGCGCAGAGCGUCGCAGACCUCUUUUGCCGGGGGACAAAAGGCCGGACUCGUCCGGUCCUGAGGGUACCCGGAGAAAAAGCAUCGGCUAACUCCGUGCCAGCAGCCGCGGUAAUACGGAGGAUGCGAGCGUUAUCCGGAUUUAUUGGGUUUAAAGGGUGCGUAGGCGGAAUGCCAAGUCAGCGGUAAAAUCGCGGGGCUCAACCUCGCUCCGCCGUUGAAACUGGC
rnacentral:rRNA from 1 species